AUCAAUUCGAAGGAUUGGCGAGG
rnacentral:siRNA from 1 species